rnacentral:rRNA from 1 species
AGGGCACCACCAGGAGUGGAGCCUGCGGCUUAAUUUGACUCAACACGGGAAAACUCACCCGGCCCGGACACUGGAAGGAUUGACAGGUUGAGAGCUCUUUCUCGAUUCAGUGGGUGGUGGUGCAUGGCCGUUCUUAGUUGGUGGAGUGAUUUGUCUGGUUAAUUCCGAUAACGAACGAGACUCUAGCCUAUUAAAUAGAUCGUUGGCUUACAAACGCCGGCGAGACUUCUUAGAGGGACAGGCGGCGAUUCAGCCGCACGAAACAGAGCAAUAACAGGUCUGUGAUGCCCUUAGAUGUCCGGGGCCGCACGCGCGCUACACUGAAGUGAUCAGCGUGCAUUUUGAAACCUACUCUGUCAAGAGUGGGGAACCCAAUGAACCUUCUUCGUGAUUGGGAUAGGGGAUUGUAAUUAUUCCCCUUGAACGAGGAAUUCCCAGUAAGCGCGAAUCAUAAGUUUGCGCUGAUUACGUCCCUGCCCUUUGUACACACCGCCCGUCGCUACUACCGAUUGAAUGUUU